rnacentral:rRNA from 2 species
AGACCCGAAACCCGGUGAUCUAGCCAUGGGCAGGUUGAAGGUUGGGUAACACUAACUGGAGGACCGAACCGACUAAUGUUGAAAAAUUAGCGGAUGACCUGUGGCUGGGGGUGAAAGGCCAAUCAAACCGGGAGAUAGCUGGUUCUCCCCGAAAGCUAUUUAGGUAGCGCCUCGUGAAUUCAUCUCCGGGGGUAGAGCACUGUUUCGGCUAGGGGGCCAUCCCGGCUUACCAACCCGAUGCAAACUGCGAAUACCGGAGAAUGUUAUCACGGGAGACACACGGCGGGUGCUAACGUCCGUCGUGAAGAGGGAAACAACCCAGACCGCCAGCUAAGGUCCCAAAGUCAUGGUUAAGUGGGAAACGAUGUGGGAAGGCCCAGACAGCCAGGAUGUUGGCUUAGAAGCAGCCAUCAUUUAAAGAAAGCGUAAUAGCUCACUGGUCGAGUCGGCCUGCGCGGAAGAUGUAACGGGGCUAAACCAUGCACCGAAGCUGCGGCAGCGACGCUUAUGCGUUGUUGGGUAGGGGAGCGUUCUGUAAGCCUGCGAAGGUGGCCUGUGAGGGUUGCUGGAGGUAUCAGAAGUGCGAAUGCUGACAUAAGUAACGAUAAAGCGGGUGAAAAGCCCGCUCGCCGGAAGACCAAGGGUUCCUGUCCAACGUUAAUCGGGGCAGGGUGAGUCGACCCCUAAGGCGAGGCCGAAAGGCGUAGUCGAUGGGAAACGGGUUAAUAUUCCCGUACUUGGUGUUACUGCGAAGGGGGGACGGAGAAGGCUAUGUUGGCCGGGCGACGGUUGUCCCGGUUUAAGCGUGUAGGUGUGUGUUCCAGGUAAAUCCGGUUCACUUUAACACUGAGGCGUGACGACGAGGCACUACGGUGCUGAAGCAACAAAUGCCCUGCUUCCAGGAAAAGCCUCUAAGCAUCAGGUAACAUCAAAUCGUACCCCAAACCGACACAGGUGGUCAGGUAGAGAAUACCAAGGCGCUUGAGAGAACUCGGGUGAAGGAACUAGGCAAAAUGGUGCCGUAACUUCGGGAGAAGGCACGCUGACACGUAGGUGAAGUGAUUUACUCAUGGAGCUGAAGUCAGUCGAAGAUACCAGCUGGCUGCAACUGUUUAUUAAAAACACAGCACUGUGCAAACACGAAAGUGGACGUAUACGGUGUGACGCCUGCCCGGUGCCGGAAGGUUAAUUGAUGGGGUCAGCGCAAGCGAAGCUCCUGAUCGAAGCCCCGGUAAACGGCGGCCGUAACUAUAACGGUCCUAAGGUAGCGAAAUUCCUUGUCGGGUAAGUUCCGACCUGCACGAAUGGCGUAAUGAUGGCCAGGCUGUCUCCACCCGAGACUCAGUGAAAUUGAACUCGCUGUGAAGAUGCAGUGUACCCGCGGCAAGACGGAAAGACCCCGUGAACCUUUACUAUAGCUUGACACUGAACAUUGAGCCUUGAUGUGUAGGAUAGGUGGGAGGCUUUGAAGCGUGGACGCCAGUCUGCGUGGAGCCGACCUUGAAAUACCACCCUUUAAUGUUUGAUGUUCUAACGUGGACCCGUGAUCCGGGUUGCGGACAGUGUCUGGUGGGUAGUUUGACUGGGGCGGUCUCCUCCUAAAGAGUAACGGAGGAGCACGAAGGUUGGCUAAUCCUGGUCGGACAUCAGGAGGUUAGUGCAAUGGCAUAAGCCAGCUUGACUGCGAGCGUGACGGCGCGAGCAGGUGCGAAAGCAGGUCAUAGUGAUCCGGUGGUUCUGAAUGGAAGGGCCAUCGCUCAACGGAUAAAAGGUACUCCGGGGAUAACAGGCUGAUACCGCCCAAGAGUUCAUAUCGACGGCGGUGUUUGGCACCUCGAUGUCGGCUCAUCACAUCCUGGGGCUGAAGUAGGUCCCAAGGGUAUGGCUGUUCGCCAUUUAAAGUGGUACGCGAGCUGGGUUUAGAACGUCGUGAGACAGUUCGGUCCCUAUCUGCCGUGGGCGCUGGAGAACUGAGGGGGGCUGCUCCUAGUACGAGAGGACCGGAGUGGACGCAUCACUGGUGUUCGGGUUGUCAUGCCAAUGGCACUGCCCGGUAGCUAAAUGCGGAAGAGAUAAGUGCUGAAAGCAUCUAAGCACGAAACUUGCCCCGA